GUUUUCAUUUCACUCCGAUCCUCUGCCCUGUUGAAGAGCGCUUUCUGCUUUCCAGUGCGUGUGCUAAGCUUAGGUCUGAGCACUGGCGGAUCCCAUGGGUGUGGCUCUGAGGAAAUUGACGCAGUGGACUGCUGCCGGACAUGGAACUGGAAUCCUCGAAAUCACCCCUCUAAAUGAAGCGAUAUUGAAAGAAAUUAUUGUUUGUGGAGAAUUUUAUCUAUAAACAUUCCCAAGAGGCAAAAUUUGUUUUUGUGGAACCACUUGAGUGGAACACAGGUUUGGCGCCCUCAGCAUUUGAAUCGGGUUAUGUUGUCAGGAAGAGUGCUGAAAAGAUUGAGGAAACUGUUAGUGAUAGCUCCUCAGAAAGUGAGGAAGAUGAAGAACCACCUGACCAUCGUCAGGAAGCAAGUGCAGAUUUGCCAUCAGAAUAUUGGCAAAUUCAGAAGCUGGUGAAAUAUUUAAAGGGGAAGGUCUUAUUACCCUGAGGAUGCAAGAUUCAUGCUCAUGGAGCAACCAGGCUGCCUGGUACCAACCCUCUCUCCUGGCUGGGGAGUGCGCAUGGUAAACAGCUGACACUGAGACUUGCUGCCAUUUUAUGAUUUGUAGUAUGGUGUGGAAGAAAUAACAUGGAUUUUUAAAGUGGACUUCGGUUAAACUCCAGGCUGUUUGACUUACUAGCAACGUAGCUGUUGAAACGUUACAGUUUUGAGCCCUAAUUUUCUCAACCCUUGGAAUAAAAUUAAUAUACCUGUACUACAGGACUAUUAUAAAGUUUAAGAAAACACACUUGAAACAUACAGCGUGGUUUCUGAGACAUUGUGGGUGUUUAUAAUGUGGAUUGGUUCAUUUUCAUUUCUCUCAAGUCAGAUAGCAUAUACGAGAAUAUUUUACAUAAUAAUUGGCCACGUAAUGUAUUUAAGUACUUGAAUUUGCAGGAGGGCAAGGGGAAUGGCUCACCAAAACCCAGAUUAAUAUUCAUUUCUGACGUCAGAUAGCAAGUAUUGAUGAUAUCUAGGCCUUGUGUAAAGCCGACGUCCAGAGUAUUUGUGAAAAAGCAUUUGACUCAACUCAUGUUUUCUUUCCGCUUUUCUAUGUCUUUGGUCAAAUCAGCCAAGGGCAUUUGCCAGUGGCUUUGCUUGAUUCAAUCAUUGCAGUGUAAACAUUUAUCAAAAUAUCACAUUUUACUCCACAAAAAUACACAAGUAUUCUUUGUCAAUUAAAAGUAAUUUGUAUUUUGGCUGGGCGUGGUGGCUCACGCCUGUAAUCCCAGCACUUAGGGAGGCCGAGGUGGGUGGAUCAUCUGAGGUCAGGAGAUCAAGACUAGCCUGG
rnacentral:lncRNA from 1 species